ACAGCCAUAUCCUGUUGAAACACCGGUUCUUAUACGAUCACCGAAGUUAAGCAAUAUUAAACCUUGUCAGUACCAAGAUGGGUGACUGCUUAUGAAUACCAGGUGCUGUAA